GACGAACGCUGGCGGCGUGCCUAAUACAUGCAAGUCGAGCGCAGGAAACUGACGGAACUCUUCGGAGGGAAGGCAGUGGAAUGAGCGGCGGACGGGUGAGUAACACGUAAGGAACCUGCCUCAAGGAUUGGGAUAACUCCGAGAAAUCGGAGCUAAUACCGGAUAGUUCAACGGACCGCAUGGUCCGCCGAUGAAAGGCGCUCCGGCGUCACCUUGAGAUGGCCUUGCGGUGCAUUAGCUAGUGGGUGGGGUAACGGCCCACCAAGGCGACGAUGCAUAGCCGACCUGAGAGGGUGAUCGGCCACACUGGGACUGAGACACGGCCCAGACUCCUACGGGUGGCAGCAGUAGGGAAUCUUCCACAAUGGACGAAAGUCUGAUGGAGCAACGCCGCGUGAGUGAUGAAGGUUUUCGGAUCGUAAAACUCUGUUGUAAGGGAAGAACACGUACGAGAGGGAAUGCUCGUACCUUGACGGUACCUUACGAGAAAGCCACGGCUAACUACGUGCCAGCAGCCGCAGUAA
rnacentral:rRNA from 1 species